rnacentral:rRNA from 1 species
UACGUAGGGUGCAAGCGUUGUCCGGAAUUAUUGGGCGUAAAGAGCUCGUAGGCGGUUUGUUGCGUCGGCUGUGAAAUCCCGAGGCUCAACCUCGGGUCUGCAGUCGAUACGAGCAAACUAGAGUGUUGCAGGGGAGACUGGAAUUCCUGGUGUAGCGGUGAAAUGCGCAGAUAUCAGGAGGAACACCGGUGGCGAAGGCGGGUCUCUGGGCAACAACUGACGCUGAGGAGCGAAAGCGUGGGGGAGCAAACAGG